rnacentral:rRNA from 1 species
GAUGAACGCUGGCGGCGUGCCUAAUACAUGCAAGUCGAGCGAACGGACGAGAAGCUUGCUUCUCUGAUGUUAGCGGCGGACGGGUGAGUAACACGUGGAUAACCUACCUAUAAGACUGGGAUAACUUCGGGAAACCGGAGCUAAUACCGGAUAAUAUUUUGAACCGCAUGGUUCAAAAGUAAAAGACGGUCUUGCUGUCACUUAUAGAUGGAUCCGCGCUGCAUUAGCUAGUUGGUAAGGUAACGGCUUACCAAGGCAACGAUGCAUAGCCGACCUGAGAGGGUGAUCGGCCACACUGGAACUGAGACACGGUUCAGACUCCUACGGGAGGCAGCAGUAGGGAAUCUUCCGCAAUGGGCGAAAGCCUGACGGAGCAACGCCGCGUGAGUGAUGAAGGUCUUCGGAUCGUAAAACUCUGUUAUUAGGGAAGAACAUAUGUGUAAGUAACUGUGCACAUCUUGACGGUACCUAAUCAGAAAGCCACGGCUAACUACGUG